CCAGCGACGCUUUCAGGCGAGAGAAGCCCAGCUGCAGCUGCUGCGGGUCCGGGGCCUGGGGAGCGCUCCUGGAGAGUGAGUAGAAGCGCUGAAGCGUCUCAUCUAGUUCGUUGCUGCCUGACAUUUUGUCCCGCCCUCGCAUGACAUGCGGACGUGCAGCCACCAGGAGGCCGUCCUUCUGGUCCCCCAUUGCGCAGCAUGACUUUUGCGGCAGGCUGGUGUUGGGGCAUCUUUUCUGCGGCCAGCAGAAGUGGCGACAGCCUUGUAGGCACGUGUCCAAAGAGGCCACCUCCGUCCACUUGGAAAAAGGCACGGACUCCACUGAGUCCUCCUCCGCCAGGGGAAACUAGAAAGUGGCCCAGGGCUCUUGAGGAGGCCACCCGUGUGGGGCAGAGUCAACCAAGAGGCGCCUGGGACGUUUAGCAACAGCCGCUCUUCCUCCCCAUGAUGGCCCUGACCAGAGAUGUGGACGUGCACCUGGCGCGGGCGUGGACGACUAAGAAGGCCCGCGUGGAUUGUUUGCUGAGGUGACCGCAGUGGGCUGAGCAGAGGCCACGCUAGGCAGAAGCACUGCCCCUUCCUCCAGGUGCAGGACCUGCCUGUGGGGCUUGAGCUGUGCGUCCCUGAAGGGGACCAGCCGGGGUGCACCCUGGCAGGGGAAGGUCCCAGAGGCCUCUUCAACCCAGAAGACAACCGCUGGCACUGAGGACGCGACCCUGCUGGGUUUCCUAAAGAAGGAUGUGAGAGAGCACAGGGGGCUCUGCGGGAAGCCACUGGGCUGGGAACAUGCCCUCGGGCACUUUUGUGUUUGGGGCCCAGGAGGAGAGGCGCACCAGCCUGGUCAGGUGGAGCCUGUGCCCUGCAGGGCCUCACCCCAGCAUGGCACGAGGUGGACCUUCUCCCUUCCCUGGAGCCCUCUCCCACGGGGCCCCAUUUCUCCACGGUGGUUCGUCUGACUGAAAGGAUACUCUGGCCAGGAAAGGCUGGCAAUCCUUGAGGUCCACAAAAGUGCAAUUUGCCCCCCAAAACGGAGUGUCCUUGGGCAGGAGCUUCCCCACCUCCAGGCACACACUCAGCGGGAGACCUUGCUGUCACAUGCAGAGGUACACCCCAUAGGGUGGCAGAUGCCUGUCGCCCGGCCGGUCCCUGGGAUCUGGCCCGGUGAGCCCUGGACCCGGCCCAGCCAGCACUGCCCCCCUGUCCCUGGGCAGUUGUCCACGCGGCACGGGAAACUCGUCCCUGUUCCCGACCCUCUUCUGUAUGUGGGUUUGGCAGGGACACGUGCCCCUUGGAGGCCUGUGCACUGUGCUGCUAGGUUGGAAUUGAGUCCCCACUGCGGUGGGGGGAGGGGACCCUUCCUGCACUAGGGACUGUGUGGAGAUUCCUCCUUCAAGGUGUAAUGUCAUUGCUCCUGCCCUCACGGGUCGGCUGAGGCCAAUCCUGCCCUCCCUUUACUCUGACCCUUCAUGUUGGGGCAUGCUGGGGGGAGGUCAGGGAUCCUGCUUGACCCCCUGCGUCCCACCAUCCACCUGUGGUCUGUGGUGUUCCCAGCGCCUGGCCAGAGUUCACACCUGUCCCCUCCUGUUGCUGGGCAUCUGCGCCCCCUCUGAGUUUGGGAGAGGGAGAGGAAGUCGCGACGCGCCAAAGGGGCCACCGAGAGGCAGAGCCCUGCUCUGGAGCCCAGUGGCAAAGGGGGGGACCUGGCCGGGAUCUGCUCUUCGGCUCCUCACCAGAUGCGACAGAGCCUAGGACUCCUGUUCCCUUCUCUCCUAGGGGACACCAGAAGAGGGGGCAGGCCCAGGGCGACCCUGGGAAACUCACAGGUGGGCUUUGCCCUCAGCAGGAGGAAGCUGGCCACUGUCCCUCCCCCGUGGAUGAAGUUUCCCCUGGCUCUGGGAGCGCAGCCCCCCUCGCCCUCCACAUCCUGUGAGACCCAGCAGCUCUGUCUCUUGCUACCCUGCAGGCUAGCUGUAGGUGCCCGCUGCGGGGGCCCUGCGUGUUCCCCUGCACCCCACACCAGGCGGCCCGAGUGCCAGCGGGAGGGACAGCAGCACAGUCCGGCUCAUCCGUGCCUUUGGUUGGACUCUGUCUCUUCUUCUCCACAGAAAGCUGCUCAGCGUCAUGGAGUGUUUUGAAUCUGUUCCUCUUGAAAUGUAUCAUGACAAGAGCGAGAUGUUCCAGCAAUGGGACAUCCGGGCAGGUGCAGGGAAGGAGCUUAGAAAUGGGCGAGUGAGGAAGGCCAUGGGGCCUCUGGCCAUGGCCCGGUCAUGGCGGGGCAGCCCAGCAGGCCCUCGGGGGCAGAGGUGAAGCCCUUCCAGGUGUGAGCACAAAGUCCUGGGAGCUCCUGACCUGUUCUCCGAAGGACGCCUGGCUGCAGCCAGCACAUCGCGUGGCUCCUGGGGGCAACAGUGGGCACGGAGAGCCUGGCUGGGGACAAGCAGAGGGUCCCUGGGAGCCCAGCCAGCCCAAGGGUUGUGGAGGUGGCCCUGUGGGAGCAUGCUGCUUCCAGAGUUUCUACACCUCUAGGUGGAUCGGGGGUGGAAGAUGGUUUCAGGAUAGUGGUGGAAAGCAUCUUUCAGAGCCAACUGGGAACACAGGGGGUGGCCA